rnacentral:rRNA from 1 species
GAUGAACGCUGGCGGCGUGCCUAAUACAUGCAAGUCGAGCGAACGGACGAGAAGCUUGCUUCUCUGAUGUUAGCGGCGGACGGGUGAGUAACACGUGGAUAACCUACCUAUAAGACUGGGAUAACUUCGGGAAACCGGAGCUAAUACCGGAUAAUAUUUUGAACCGCAUGGUUCAAAGGUGAAAGACGGUCUUGCUGUCACGUAUAGAUGGAUCCGCGCUGCAUUAGCUAGUUGGUAAGGUAACGGCUUACCAAGGCAACGAUGCAUAGCCGACCUGAGAGGGUGAUCGGCCACACUGGAACUGAGACACGGUCCAGACUCCUACGGGAGGCAGCAGUAGGGAAUCUUCCGCAAUGGGCGAAAGCCUGACGGAGCAACGCCGCGUGAGUGAUGAAGGUCUUCGGAUCGUAAAACUCUGUUAUUAGGGAAGAACAUAUGUGUAAGUAACUGUGCACAUCUUGACGGUACCUAAUCAGAAAGCCACGGCUAACUACGUG